rnacentral:rRNA from 1 species
CAAUAGCGUAUAUUAAAGUUGUUGCAGUUAAAAAGCUCGUAGUUGGACCUUGGACCUGGACAGGCGGUCCGCCUCACGGCGAGUACUGUCUUGCUGGGUCUUUCCUCUUGGUGAUCUGUUGUUUCGGCAGCAGGGAACCAGGACCUUUACUUUGAAAAAAUUAGAGUGUUCAAAGCAGGCUCGACGCCGGAAUAUAUUAGCAUGGAAUAAUAAAAUAGGACGUGCGGUUCUAUUUUGUUGGUUUUUGGAAUCGCCGUAAUGAUUAAUAGGGACAGUCGGGGGCAUUAGUACUCACAUGCUAGAGGUGAAAUUCUUGGAUUUUGUGAAGACUAACUUCUGCGAANGNAUUUGCNAAGGAUGUUUNCAUUG